GGAAAAGCUCGAUUUAACCUUUAAGUACAGAUAACUAUCAGGGUAUGAAAAGGCAAGAAAACAUGACAAAAUGAAAGGAUUAUUGAUGGGCAAUAAAGGAAGCGUAGUAGGUUUACCUUGAGAUUUCACUGAGCUAAUAUACUGGCUCCCAUUUCUAUGUUUAUUGUAGGAAAAAGAGAAAAACACUAAUCCAGGGAUAGAGCUGACUAGGGAUGCCCAAGUCAAAAAGACUUUGUAGCACUGGGCUUGGCAGAGGGUCCUGAAGCUAAAUGCAGAAAACUGCGGGAAAUGUCUUCAACUGGGGCUAAAGGUCGUAAGCAAGGACAAUGAACCUGGAAUUUGGAGGAAUUCAUACUCCAGUGAAGAAUUUCCAGACCCCUCAUGAAAAUAGCAGAUUGCCUACUCACCAGAGAAUACUCAAGCUGAAACUAAGCAGCCCCUGGAGGAAAUUGAACUCUCAGAACCUGACUGACAGUCUGCUCUUAAGAACAUUACCUCAAUCUGGAGAGAAAUGUGUGUUUCCUCUCCUAUAUGGAUUUCAGACAGAAGCAGAAGGAGGCUUAGAGGUUCUUCGUCACAAGUUGCCAAAAUGAAACAGAACUGUGAAAAGAAAAUGGAGAUGCUUCUUCAGGAGGUGCCCGUGAUGUGAUUUACUUGAUGAUUAUGGCCUGCAGGGUAUUGAGAUGGGAUUAUGUAACUUAAAUAAACUGGAUAUGAGUAGAGAUCUGAAAGAUUUUUCAAAAACAUUCAGCUUUACUUUUUUUUUUCUCCUAAGGAACAAGUUGUUCACUCAUAGAGCUGAAAAGGAUAAAUGAAGUGUUCAGUUCACAGAAGCAAAAUAUGAGUAGUUCAUAUAUCUUUUGUAAAUGUUCUAUGUAUCACUGUAAACUAGACAUCUUCCACAUGCCCCUAUGUUUUUCCAUUUUGAAAUCAAUUUCUAGUUCAAACUUGUCAAUAGACAAUGAAUAUUUGCAAAGUUAUAGUUUCACUGAAUUAGGAUGUAACCUGUAGCUCACAAUGAAAAUGCCAUUAGCUUGAGUUUAAAAUUUAUGUUGCUAUUUUUUUCUUUUGUCAAUAUUUUCCUUCUGUGGGACUUAUUGCACAAGGGUCGGAUAUCACAACUGAGGGAAACUGCAGAACAAUGGUUCUUCCAAUCAUUCAGACCCAUUUAAGCCAUAGUCUUUGUUGGCUUUGCCAAAUGACUGAAUGCUUGGGUCUAUUAGCACUGUCAAAUAGUGUUGAGUACAUACUUGUGGCAUAAGCAAGUUAAUAUUUAUAGGGAGCACUUUUGCAUGUCUUUUAAGUCACAUACUAAUUUUGGAAAGUCUCUAUGCUUUAUAUUUUGCCCUGAAAACAGAUAUUCUAGUUUAAAAAUGUUAAUUUAGUGAUUAGAAACCGCUGUAUAUAUUAUUACAUAUAUUGUCUAACAAUUGAAGAUAAUUAUGUUUAUUAAUUGCAAAUAACAGGACACAUAAAUAAUAAACUUUAAGAUCUCAAAUACAAUGGCUAAAUAUUGCUGAUUCCUUUUUGCCUUCUUUGACUUAUUUUUUUCCAUGUGUUCUCUUCCUUUAUAGAAGUGUAUUUUUUAGCUAUGUGAUGUAGA
rnacentral:lncRNA from 1 species